UCCAGACUCCUACGGGAGGCAGCAGUGGGGAAUAUUGGGCAAUGGGCGCAAGCCUGACCCAGCAACGCCGCGUGAAGGAAGACGGUUUUCGGAUUGUAAACUUCUGUUCUUAGUGAAGAAUAAUGACGGUAACUAAGGAGCAAGCCACGGCUAACUACGUGCCAGCAGCCGCGGUAAUACGUAGGUGGCAAGCGUUGUCCGGAAUUACUGGGUGUAAAGGGAGCGUAGGCGGGAAGCCAAGUCAGCUGUGAAAACUACGGGCUUAACCUGUAGACUGCAGUUGAAACUGGCUUUCUUGAGUGAAGUAGAGGUUGGCGGAAUUCCGAGUGUAGCGGUGAAAUGCGUAGAUAUUCGGAGGAACACCGGUGGCGAAGGCGGCCAACUGGGCUUUAACUGACGCUGAGGCUCGAAAGUGUGGGGAGCAAACAGGAUUAGAUACCCUAGUA
rnacentral:rRNA from 1 species